rnacentral:tRNA from 1 species
AACUCAGUUGGUUAGAGCGUGGUGCUGAUAACACCAAGUUCGCGGGUUCGAUUCCCGU